UACGUAGGGGGCUAGCGUUGUCCGGAUUCAUUGGGCGUAAAGGGUGCGUAGGCGGCGAGGUAAGUCGGAUGUGAAAUCCCGGGGCUCAACCCUGGAACUGCAUUCGAUACUGCCUUGCUCGAGGACUCGAGAGGAGAUUGGAAUUCACGGUGUAGCAGUGAAAUGCGUAGAUAUCGUGAGGAAGGCCAGUGGCGAAGGCGGAUCUCUGGAGAGUUCCUGACGCUGAGGCACGAAGGCCAGGGGAGCAAACGGG
rnacentral:rRNA from 1 species